rnacentral:rRNA from 1 species
UGGGGAAUAUUGGACAAUGGGCGAAAGCCUGAUCCAGCCAUGCCGCGUGAGUGACGAAGGCCUUAGGGUUGUAAAACUCUUUCGUCGGGGACGAUAAUGACGGUACCCGAAGAAUAAGCACCGGCUAACUCUGUGCCAGCAGCCGCGGUAAUACAGAGGGUGCGAGCGUUAAUCGGAAUUACUGGGCGUAAAGGGUGCGUAGGCGGUUAAAUAAGUUAGAUGUGAAAUCCCCGGGCUUAACCUGGGAAUUGCAUUUAAUACUGUAUGACUAGAGUAGAGUAGAGGGAAGUGGAAUUUCCGGUGUAGCGGUGAAAUGCGUAGAUAUCGGAAAGAACAUCAGUGGCGAAGGCGGCUUCCUGGACUCAUACUGACGCUGAGGCACGAAAGCAUGGGGAGCAAACAGGAUUAGAUACCCUAGUAGUCCCUGAGCGGGCUGGCAAGGCGCAU